ensembl:snRNA U1 U1 spliceosomal RNA
AGAAGCUCCUGGUAGGGAAGAUAUCGUGACCUUGAAGGUGAUUUCCCCAGGGUGAGGUUAAUGCCUGGCAUUCUGGGUGCGUUGACCCCUGUGAUUUCCCCAAAUGUGAGAAACUCAACUACAUAAUUUCC